CCUACGGGUGGCAGCAGUGAGGAAGAUUGGUCAAUGGGCGGAAGCCUGAACCAGCCAAGUCGCGUGAGGGAAGAAGGCCCUACGGGUUGUAAACUUCUGUUAUAAAGGAAUAAAGUGAGGCACGUGUGCCUUUUUGUAUGUACUUUAUGAAUAAGGAUCGGCUAACUCCGUGCCAGCAGCCGCGGUAAUACGGAGGAUCCGAGCGUUAUCCGGAUUUAUUGGGUUUAACGGGAGCGUAGAGGGGUUGUUAAGUCAGUUGUGAAAGUUUGCGGCUCAACCGUAAAAUUGCAAUUGAUACUGGCAGUCUUGAGUACAGUUGAGGUAGGCGGAAUUCGUGGUGUAGCGG
rnacentral:rRNA from 1 species